GACGAACGCUGGCGGCGUGCUUAACACAUGCAAGUCGAACGGAAAGGCCUGCUUUCCCUUGUGGAUUGCGGGUACUCGAGUGGCGAACGGGUGAGUAACACGUGAGUGAUCUGCCCCCAACUUGGGUAUAAGCCUGGGAAACUGGGUCUAAUUCCCGAUAGGACUGCAGGGUGGUGCCUGUGGUGGAAAACGAUUUUCUAGUGGUUGGGGAUGAGCUCGCGGCCUAUCAGCUUGUUGGUGGGGUAAUGGCCUACCAAGGCGGCGACGGGUAGCCGGCCUGGGAGGGUGGACGGCCACAUUGGGACUGAGAUACGGCCCAGACUCCUACGGGAGGCAGCAGUGGGGAAUAUGGCACAAUGGGCGGAAGCCUGAGGCAGCGACGCCGCGGGGGGGAUGACGGCCUUCGGGUGGUAAACUCCUUUCGACCGCGAGGAAGCCACCUGGUUGGAAGGGUGGUGACGGUAGUGGGAGAAGAAGCACCGGCUAACUACGUG
rnacentral:rRNA from 1 species